rnacentral:rRNA from 1 species
AGUGAACGCUGGCGGUAGGCCUAACACAUGCAAGUCGAACGGCAGCACAGUAAGAGCUUGCUCUUACGGGUGGCGAGUGGCGGACGGGUGAGGAAUACAUCGGAACCUACUUUUUCGUGGGGGAUAACGUAGGGAAACUUACGCUAAUACCGCAUACGACCUACGGGUGAAAGCAGGGGAUCUUCGGACCUUGCGCGAUUGAAUGAGCCGAUGUCGGAUUAGCUAGUUGGCGGGGUAAAGGCCCACCAAGGCGACGAUCCGUAGCUGGUCUGAGAGGAUGAUCAGCCACACUGGAACUGAGACACGGUCCAGACUCCUACGAGAGGCAGCAGUGGGGAAUAUUGGACAAUGGGCGCAAGCCUGAUCCAGCCAUACCGCGUGGGUGAAGAAGGCCUUCGGGUUGUAAAGCCCUUUUGUUGGGAAAGAAAAGCAGCAGGUUAAUACCCCGCUGUUCUGACGGUACCCAAAGAAUAAGCACCGGCUAACUUCGUG